UACCGUAGGAGCGAAUGUUAUCCUACUUGACUGGGUGUAAAGGCUCCUACGACGGUAAUUUAUUUUGUUAGCAUACCACGCAAGCACCACUUUCAAAAAAUUUUCAAGACUGAUUUACUUGAGUUUAGGAGAAGAUAAUAGAAGUUUUCAUGUAGGGAUAAAAUCCCGUAAUAUGAAAGCGAAUACCAGCGGCGAAGGCGAUUAUCUAGCUUAAACUGACGUUCAAGGACGAAAGGGUAGGGAGCGAACAGGAUUAGAGACCCUGGUAGUCUACCCCCUAAAAUAUGGGUGCCGGCUUUUAAAGUUAUUUUUAGAGGCUCAGUUUACGCGUUAAGCGCCCCACCUGGGAACUACGAUCGCAAGAUUGAAGCUCAAAGGAAUUGGCGGGGACCAAAGCAAGUGGUGGAGCAUGUGGUUUAAUGCGAUAAUCCGCGCAAAAACUUACCAGUUCUUGUAUUUUUUUUUGAGAAAGAAAAACAAGUGUUGCAUGGCUGUCGAAAGCCCGUGUUUAAGAUAUUUGGUUUACUCCAUUAACGGGCGAAACCCUUGAUAUUAGUAUUUGUAAAAUUAUAGAUGAAUUAAACAAUACCUAAUAUGAUUAUUAAAUACGAAAGUAAUUGAAAAGGGACUAUGACAAGUCCUUAUGGCCUUUAUGAACUGGGCUACACAUGUGCUACAAUGGUUACUACAAAGAGAAGCAAUAAAGCGAUUUAAAGCAAAUCUCUAAAGGUAACCUUAGUUCAGAUUAUAGAUUGGAACUCAUCUAUAUGAAGCUGGAAUCACUAGUAAUCGUGAAUCAAAAGCGUCACGGUGAAUAAGCCUCUAGGUCU
rnacentral:rRNA from 1 species